rnacentral:lncRNA from 1 species
AUGAAUCAAACAUUUCCAAGAAUAUUAAAGUAAGUAGGAGGGUGAGAAGAAACCAGCAAUAUGGUUGAGUUUAGAUAAAAUUUACCAUCACUGUUUCUGAUGAAGUAUUUGAACAUUAGAAGUAAAAUGAAGAUCAAGAAGAAGAGAAUAAGUUACUUAUAAAAAUAUGCACAACUUCCUAGGCAUCUAUAUAUAUGUGCACAUAGGUAAUGGCCAGAACUUCUCCCAAAUGACAUUUACAUUUAACAACAAGAAGGCUCAUAGAAGACUUCAACUCCCAAAUGAAGUAUUUGAACAUUAGUAAGAAAAACCCAAUGAAACCAACCAGUAGCAAUUUCAACUCCAAUGCAGCAAACUUACCCACCAUCCAAACCUGAAAAAACCAUCGAAGAAACCUGUAAGGAAGAAACCCAAUGUGCCUAUCAUUUCGAGUAGAACACUAAUAGAACAUUGGUUAUUAUCCAGAGCUCACGUUUAAUAUGGUUACUCCACCAAAAUAUAAGUGAAUUAUUUUGCAUGCCUACAUGGUAAUUAUAGAAGACAAACCUUAAAAUAAAAAUCUCAUGUGUUUUACAAAAGAGAGAAAGACAAGAAGAGAGAAUCUUUCAAUGUCAACAGGAGGAAAAUUACCCAGAGCAAACUGUACGCAGAUAUUACAAGAGCCAAUAAUGCAUUCAGCAUACAAAAAGUGGCAUCGAAGAGAAUCAAUAAAUCAUAAAACAUGAAAAAUUUGCAAAUAUCAUGGCCCAAGAGAACCCACUCAAAACAACAAAUUGCAAAAAUCUUGGCCCUAGAGAAUAACCAGAUGCAUGGAGAAGUAGGGAAUUAGAGGGGACCCCCAUACAAAUUUCUCCAUGGAAACAAGAAGGAAGUUGAGCAGAUGUUGGGGGAAGUAAUUGCAAAACCAAUGGUUCUCUCUCAUGACACCAAAGCAAGACAGACCUACACCCUCUAAAUUUUCAGGACGAGAUGCUUCUAAGGCAUAAAUUCAAGGAAGCAAGCUUUAUAAGAACAGAGAGCUUAAAUCUCCAUUAAAAAUUCUGAAUCAGAGGCUUUUCAGUUACCCCCAAAUGAAAGAAAUGGAGAACAGGCCUAGGCAGGAAAUCAGCCUCUAAAAAACAGCUCCUUUAUACAAAAUCAUAGGAUUUCCAGCCUAUUGACCCCCAUACUUGAACAAUUAAACAAUUAACAGUUAACACAGUCAAGCACACACAAUUAACAGUUAGAAAUAAAAUUGUGCAUUACAAACUAUGAAAUUAGGGAAUAAAAAUCCAAUUCCACAGUCUUACAAACUGUUAAGCACUCAGUUACAAAUUGUGCAUAAUAAACUCUGCAUUACAAACUGUUAAGCGCACAGUAAUACACAUUCAAGCACACAGUUACACACAGUUCAUAAAGCAAUACACAGACAUAGUUAACACAGUUAAGCUUCUGAGCCCUUACUUCUUCAAAGUUCAAACCCAAUUCAUCAGAACUAUCAAAUAUAGCUAACAAAACCAAACAAUUCUGGUUCUUAGAUAUACAUAUUCAUUCCAAAAUAUAAACAUCUACAAAGGAACUUUAAGUAAAGUAAGAAUUACACCAGAAUAGUCACAGCAAAUGCAAUCAUCCCUCUAUCGCCUGGUCAUUACAAGAUGAAGAGCCCUCGACGGCUACACAAAUUUCAAUUCUUACCAUAACCAAAAUGCAUAAUAAAUAUAUAAAUAAGACAAGUAUUUAAGACAUAGAACAUUUAUUUAUCUUCGGGGCAGUAACCCCGAAGCCAGUCCUGUGCACAAAUCAAGGCCUCCACAGUAGUUGGAUGCAAGGAACUACGGUACUAAUUGAGGACUUGACCACUUGCGCUAAAGGCCGACUAUGAAGGGAUGGUGUACAACGGAAUUGCCAAAAUAUCUCAAGCCAAUUCAAACAAAAUAGGAUUCAUCGACGCAUUAACUUUCCACCAACAUGAGAUGUCAAAGGCCACAUCUUCAUCUCGAUGAACCAACUCAUGAUCUAAAUAAUUAUCCAACUGAAGUUCGGUCCAAGAAUUGGUUGAAGUUUAAAUGGAGUCUCUUUGUACCUCUCUAUCAAGUAAAGAGCUUGAACUCCUAAUACUACUUGCUUCUUUUUCUAUAUUAGAAGUAGUUGACUAUGUCAAACCUACAUACUUCUUAUAUAAACAAUCAAAGUUAUCCCGAACAAUCUUAAAUUUCGCCUCACUUUCAUCACCAACACUUUAUCUUGUCUCAAAACAAUACCCUAUAAACUUUAACUUACAUCUAGGAUCCAAAAUUGUUGCUAUUGUCAUUGAUAAAUUACAUUCACCCCGCCCUAUACUUGACAAAUUUUUCUUGCAUCACAAAAGUUACCUAUUAUAUGGUUUCAUCUUGACUAUUAGCUUCUUCCAUUAACAUCUGUUGAAUCCCCCAAACCUUUGAAAAAUAAGUAUGUGAUGUAGGAUACUUGCUUCCAAAAAUUAAAUUUGUAGUUUCCUUAAAAACUUUCAAAAACUUAUGAAUUACUUCAGUUUUAUUCCAAUCAUCUACAAAUGGAGCAAUAUCAUAGUGAUGACUAUCUGCAUAUCGAGCAAAUACCUCUUUAUAGGUUAAAGCACUUCGAAGCAUGUCAAAUGUGGAGUUCCACCUUGUGGGAACAUCCAACACUAAACCUUUUUUACUUGGCACUCUUAACUAUUGUGCGAUUUCAUUAAAUAUUUGCAUGCGAGAUGGAGAUACCUUCACAUAUUUAACAAUCCCACACGCAUUUUCAAAAACACUAUGUAUUAUUUUCAACCAUGUUCACACUAUAAUGUUCAAACUGUGUGCACAACAUCUCAUGUGAAUGUGAUUCUCUCCAAGAAAAAUCUUUCAGAAAUAUUAUCUUUUAAUUUCUUCACAACAAGAUGAUUGGUAGUGCAAUUAUCCAUAGUAAUAGCACACAAUUUAUCCUUCAAAUUCCAAUAAAAAAUACAUCUUUCAAUUGCAUUCAAGAUAACUAAACUUGUGUGCGGAUAUGGUACCAACUUGAAAUUUAUUAUCUUUUUUCUUAAAAUCCUAUCACUAUCUAUAUAGUGGGCCGUGGGACACAUAUAUCCAAGAGACUGAUUGGAUGUCCGAAGGUCAAUGGUAAGACUCAAUCAACCAAUCGAUCUCUCUAAAACAUCAAAAAUUACUAUUUUUUCCUCUUGAUAUAAAGCCAUGCAAUCAUUCUUUAUUGUAGUUCAUCCUACCAUCUUAAACUUGGUUGAAGGGUCUUAACAAAUUCUAUAAAGAAAAAGGGUGCUCAACCAUACGAAACUAGAAUUAUAAGCAUCUUUGCAAGCGCUUUACGGCUUAUUUCUUGCUCAAAUUUAAAUGUUUCAAGUUCCUUAGCUAGUAACAGUUGCAAAUCCGGAUGUGGACGACUACGACAACCUUUAAUAUGACUAAGAAGGUGGGUUGUCCCAUCAUUAGUUUUUUCUACAAAGGUACAAUUACAAUGCUUACAAAAUCUUUUUAUAAGAGAAUUAUGUUUAUCAGUCCAUUUGUUUAAUAAUCUGGAAAGACAAUUUUUGUAAUUCCCUGGUUUUUACUGAUUGUUUUGUAACAACGUAUUUGUUCUUUUUGAAUGGCUAUUCUUAUUUUUCCAUUUUUUCCAUUUGAAAUGCUUUUUGAAAUUUUUUCUUUUGUAACACUUGGGAUUAUUACAACUCACUUCCCAUUCCUCUUUUAGGACAUUCUUACAAAUUUUUGGGGAGAGUUGGUUUUUAAUUUGUUUUGUUGCCUUAGAAGUAAGGCAAUAAUUCAUUAUUGUUCUAAGUACAAAAGCAAUCAUGUUACCCAGAGUGUUUGUACAAUUUGUUGAUUCUACAUAUGGUUUAUAAGUAGAAUUACAUAAUUCAUCCCAAGGUGGAGGUAGUUUAUGAAAAAACUGACCCUUCCAAAAUUCUGAAACAGAUUCUUUAACUUCAUGAAAGUAUCUUUGAAAUAAUUUUGCAAAAGUUUCAAAUUCACUUGUAAAAUAAUUUGGUUUUACUUUGAACCAAACUAUUCCAUUAACUAGGUUAGAUUGAACUCCACCUAUUAAUGUUUUGGUUGGAUCAUUGAAACGUUUAUCUAACAUUAUGACCAAUAUUGGUGUAUCGAUACCUUGUCGAAAUAAUGAUUUUAUUUCAACUUGUAUUACUCCAAUAUGAAUGUAUCUUAUAUUUGGAAAUUUUUGUUUUAAUUUCUUAAUUUUUGUUUUGUCAAAAAUAGAAAUUUCACAAGUUCCAUCUUCUAAUGCUUUAGCGAUAGUGUUGCCACUAAAUUGUUCAAAAUGUCUGGCAAACCAAAAUUUGAACUUAAGAGAUUUUGUAUAUCUCUUCCUUUUUUAUUAUUUUUAGCUUAUCUUCGUCAAUUGAGACUUCUCUUAUGACGUCACCUAAUUUAAUGGCUUCAAGACCUUGAAUAUUUUCAAAAAUUUCAUUAUUAGAUGAUGUAUUUAGCAUGAAAUAUUCUUCUUCAGAAGAUUCAUCCUCUUCUUCUAUUUCAUAGAGAAUUGAUUGUCUCAGAGAUAUCUUCUCCAAAACAUAUUUCGAAAUUAUUUUCUUCCAAAAACUUUACCAUUUUCUUGGUGUUUUGGUUUUUCUUAGGACAAUUGGGUACAAUGUGUCCUUCUUCAUUACAGAUGUAGCAUCUACAACCUUUUUUAGGUGUAAAUCUUUUGUUGUUUUUCUUAACAACAUAUUUGCUCUUUUUGAAUGGUUUAUUCUUAUUUUUCUAUUUUUCCAUUUGAAAUGCUUUUUGAAAUUUUUUCUUUUGUAACUCUAGGGAUUAUUACAACCCACUUCCCAUUCCUCUUUUAGGACUUUCUUCCAAAGUUUUGAGGAGAGUUGGUUUUUAAUUUGUUUCAUUGCCUUAGAAGUAAGGCAAUGAUUCAUCAUUGUUCUAAGUACAAAAGCAAUCCUGUAACCAAGAGUGUCUGUACAAUUUGUUGAUUCUACAUAUGGUUUAUAAGUAGAAUUACAUAAUUCAUACCAAGGUGGAGGUAGUUUAUGAAAAAACUGACGCUUCCAAAAUUCUGAAUCAGAUUCUUUCACUUCAUGAAAGUAUCUUUGAAAUAAUUUUGCAAAAGUUUCAAAUUCACUAAUUUUGCAAAGUUUUAUCUUUGUCGAUGAAUAAGUUGCAUCAUCUUGUUGGUUAGCAGUACUUUGAUAUCCGAUAAAUUUUUGUUUUAAGAGUUUUGUAAAAUCGGAUAGUACAUUUUCAAAAAGUGGAUUUUUUAUAAUUUCAGCCUGUUUUAAUUAGCCGCAUGUAUUUUGUUGCCAAUUUUUAAUAAAUCUUAAUGCAUCACCUUGCAGGGUUGUGCAAAUAUAAUUUUAAAAAAAUUUCAUUAUUUCAUUCACCCUUUUUCUGUAUUAUUAUUAUAGCCUUGACUGAGCCUAAUCAUUGAUUCCUUGUUCAUUAUAUGGGAUAUUUGUCGGAUCUAGAUAAGUACCCCAACACCCAACUAAAUUUUUAUUCAUAUUUUUUGUUAAGAUUUCUUCUUUUAUAGGAUUACUCGAAGAUGAGUGGCCAAAUGUUGCGAAUUGAUCUUCAUCCAAUUUUCUUAAAAAUUCAUGGCUGGUGUAUGAUUUUGUUUCAAGGUCUAAUUCCAGUGGAUCUAGAUCUUUGCCUUCCUUUUUCCUUUUGAAUCGAUAUUUUCUAUAUCAAAUUCACUGUUUGAAUCAAAAGUUGUUUCUUCUGGGUCAACAGUCUCUGUAAAAUUGCCUAAAGCAAUUUCAACAUUCUCAUCAUCACUUUCUUAUAAAGAAAUGAUAAGUUCAUAAUUAAAAUUUGUCAAGAGUUUUUUGUUGCUUGAAAAAAGUUCUUUCAUCAUUUUUUGUAAUUUUUCUCUUUUUAUAAAUAUAUGGUUCUUUAAUAUAUCGGGGUUUCCAGUAUUCCAGAAUUUCCUUCAUAGAGUUAUAUUUUUCAAAAUCUUUUUCUUUCCUAUUUUUCAAAGUUAACAUUUCUAUGCCAUAAUGAAGUUUUGAAAAAGAAAUGGGUUCUGAUUUUAUCUGUAUAUUUUUUAGAUUUUUUACUUCGAUCAAUAGUUCAUUUGUUUAGGAUCUAGAUUUAUUUCAGUAAUUUUUCCUAAUUUUGAGAUUUUCCUAUCUAUAUUAUCUAAUUUUUGUGAGAUCCUAUCUUGAUCUAUAUUUUUUAUAGCUUGGGUUUUACUAAACCAACUAUUGGUUAAAUCUAUUAGUAGCAUUUAUGCCAUGAUUAAUACUUGAUAAAUUAUUUUCUAAUUUUUUAUCUAUAUGCUAAAUAUGUUGGAAAUAACCUCAUUUUCCUAAUUUUUCAUCUCCUAUGCAAGGAAUAUCUGUCAUCUUAGACUCAAUUGUGACUCCUAAGGCCUAUUGACGAUUAUUUUCACUUUCAAUGAGUCCAAUGCCAACACACCUCUGGGCAACAACGACAAACCCUAAGUUACUAAUCGAUCAAGUGUAUGGGAUAUCAGAAAAGCAAGGACUAAAACAGAUAAUUCCAUGAAUAGAAUAAAAAUUUUGGAAAUAAAGCUAAACGAGCAAAUUUAUCAUAUAAUAAAUAUUACAGCAUAAUUUCUAAUGCGAGAGUUCGUCUAUUAGACGCAAUCGCUACACAUAUACUUACUUAAAAAGCUUAAAAAAAAUAAAGCAUAACUGAAAUAAUUUUAAUUCAUAAAAAAGCCAAAGGACUUUUAACUCCUGAUCAGAUACCACUAAACUGGAAAGAUCUGAAAAUACCAAAAAGUUGGCUUGUUCAAAAUUGUACUAAAAAUCAUAACAAAAAAUAUGAACCAGUAAAUUUUCAAGCAAGUGGCAAAAAUCUUUAUAUCAUUUAUUCUAGAUCAAGAAAAUCAGUAGAUAUAAGCCAAACAUCUAAACCAAAUGGAAGGUUAAAAAUUGAAAAACCCAAAAUACCUGAAAAUCAACCUGAUACAAAAGACGAAAUUUUUGCUUUUAAAGGAUUUGAAAUACCUAUUAGUUUCUCCAAAUUCUCCUUCUUUCUCAUCAUGUAAAAGGCCCGUUCUAAAAAGUAGCCUCUCAAGUAAUAUUAUCAUUAUUUUCCUGUAUUUGUGUUCCACACCUUAGAUUGGUAUCAGAGCUGGUAUCAGAGCCGGAGGUAACAGUCCCUUUGUUUUUUUAUGAAUUAAAAUUAUUUCUGUUAUGCUUUAUUUUUGUUAAGCUUUUCAAGUAAGUAUGCUAUGCGACUGCAUUUAACACACGAACUCUCGCAUCAGAAAUUAUGCUGUAAUUUUUAUUAUAUGAUAAAUUUGUUCGUUUAGCUUUAUUUCCAAAAAUUUUAUUUUUUCUAUUCAAGGAAUUAUAUGUUUCAAUCCUUGCUUUCCUGAUAUCCUAUAUACUUGACCGAUUAGUAACUUUAGGAUUUGCCGUUGUAGCCCAGUAGUGGCGUGUUGCCAUUUGACCCAUUGGAAGUGAAAAAAAUCGUCAAGAGGCCUUAGGAGCCACAAUUGAGUUUAAGAUGACAGAUAUUCCCCGCAUAGGAGAUGAAAAAUUAAGAAAAAAAGGUUAUUUCGAACGUAUUUACCAUAUAGAUAAAAAAUUAGAAAAUAAUUUACCACGUAUUAGUCAUGGCAUAAAUGCACUAAUAGAUUUAACCAAUAGCUGGUUUCGCAAAACUCAAGCUAUAAAAAAGAUAGAUCAAGAUAUGAUCUCAAAAAAAUUAGAUAAUAUAGAUAGGCAAAUCUCAUAAUUAGGAAAAAUUACUUAGAUAAAUCUAGAUCCUAAACAAUAGAACUAUUGAUCGAAGAAAAAAAUCUAAAAAAUAUACAGAUAAAAUCAAAACCCAUUUCUUUUCCAAAACUCCAUCAUGGCCCAAAAAUGUUAACUCUGGAAAAUAGGAAAUAAAAAUUUUGAAAAAUAUAACUCUAUCAAGGAAAUUCUAGAAUACUGGAAAAGCCGAUAUAUUAGAAAAUAUCGAUUCAAAAGGAAAGUCGAAGAUCCAGAUCCACUGGAAUUAGACCCUGAAACAAAAUCAUACACCUGCCAUGAAUUUUUAAGAAAAUUGGAUGAAGAUCAAUUCACAACAAAUGCGAUUCAUCUUCAAAUAAUCCUAUAAAAGAAGAAAUCUUAACAAAAAAAUAUCAAAAAAAAUUCAAAUGGGUGUUGGGGUACUUAACUCGAUCUGACAAAUAUCCCAUAUAACGAAGUCUAAGCUCUCGAAACUAAAUGUUCCCUGAUCUAGGGAUCCCUUCAUAAUUUCUCUCCUUUUUCUGAGGAGGUAGUAAAGGUUGUUUACCCUUUCUUUUGUCUCCCAUCAUUCCUUGUUUAGGAACUUUCCUUGCUAAGAAAAAUAUUAAAUCUUUUUAAGCCAUUUUUUAUGGCAAGAAUUUCUUUUCGUAGGUAUACAGUUAAUCUCACUUGGUUUAAAUUUUCCAGAAUUGUAACCAUAGAUUAAUUCUUUAUUAUCUACACAUGCUUUUAAAACCGCUCCCCAAUGUUCACCACUGGCAUCGGUUUCAAGUAUAAGUUUUUCUCCAUCUUUUGAAAAAUAAACUAUUGGAAUAUCUGAUAAAUCAGCUUUUAUUUGUUUAAUAAAUGCUUAGUCAUUUUCACUCCAAAAGAAAUGUUUAUUCUUUUUCAAUUUUUCUAAUAAAGGUUUUUUCAUUUUGGAUAAAUCUUUAAUAAAGUUUCUUCCAUAAUUAAGUAAACCAAGAAAACUUUGGAAUACCAUGAUGGAUAACAAUAUCAAAAACUUGAAAAGAACACGAAAAGGAAGUAAUAGUGACUCAGAGACAAGGAAAAACAAGGCAGAUGUACACACACAUACAAACAACCACACAGAGAUCAAUUCAAAAUGUUAUAAAUGAAUCAACACAAGCAACUCAAAGAAUCAACAACAGGGAGUCCACCAUUGCAAAGAAGAAAUACGAGUAGAGAAAUAUGAGCAUUAAUAACAGUAAAGAAAAUGCUCAAUCAAUAACCAACAUAAGCCCAUGUACAAAUGAUGAUCUACCAAUGCAACACCAAUAACAAAGAACCAAGCAACGGAAUAGUGAAAGCAAUAAUAAACUAAGCCUCAAACAUAAUCCUAGUUUCUCAUCAUCAUCAAGAAGUGGAACACAUGAACUGAUAUAGGAAAAAAAUAGGAAAGCAAAAUAAAAAAGGUUAAACAAAUAAGUACAGAAUCUAAUAGACCAUUGAAUACAAUUUUGAAUCUCAAUCAUCUAUGGAACCUCCAAAAGAAGAAAAACUGAAAAAGAAAGGAUGCAACAAAAAGAACUCAAAAGGGAAAACAAAAACACUUGACAAAUAAACAAACAAACAACCACAUAAAUAAAAACGUAUAUAUUAGAAGAUCAUCAAGCGCAAUUCUAUUACACCAAAUGAAAUCUCAUAACUACAAUACCUAGCAAUAAAAUAAUAAAUAGAAUACGAUAACUGUGAUAUGUAAAAUUAUGGAGAACAAUGACAAAAAUAACAAAAAUAAGAUAAUAUCAGAAUCGUUAGAAUAAUGGGGGGAUCCAAGUAGAGCUCGAAUGACUUGAAGAAACUCACUCAAAUUGGGGUACCAUUUCAAGAUACUUCUUUUACUUGAAUGACACCAAUUUCUUUGGUUGCCACAAAUGAGAACAUCUAAUCUCGAGCAACCCCUCAUAAACACACUUAUAUGAACCUUCUUCAGACCCCUCAAAAUAAAUAAAAUAAUUCACUCUAGAGUGAUAGGACAUAGUGCCCAGCCAUCCCCAAAUUCUCAAUUCUAAGAAAUCUUUUCGUAAAAAGAAUAACCUAAAUAAUUGAAUGUAAUGCAACAAAUUCAUUUCAGUACCUAAUCUGAAGUAAAGAAAGUAUAAUAUAUUCCUAUUGAAAGAGAAAUUUUAGAGAGAAAAACCAAACUGAAAGAGAGAGAGUUUUGAGAAUAUUUGUAUUUGAAAGAAAUCUCCCUCCCUCCCUCUUCCCUCCCUCCCUCCCUUAGGUUCUGCUGCAGAUUUUUCACAUUCAAUUCAGUUUCUAAUACGAUACAAUCUGAUGAAGGGUUGGAGUAAGUUUUGAUUUCACUCUUUUAAAUUAUUUUCUGGUGUUGGGAUCUACUUCUAAUGAUAUAUCUGAAACGCGAAAACCCAACAAAAUCGGCUGAAAAUAGACUAAACCACGAUUCAAACCACCUAUUUGAAUCUGAUCAGUUUCAAGGAUUUCAUUUAGCUUAUGAUAAUCGAUACUUUUGAUUUUCCAAAUGUGAGUGAGUGAGUGUGUGUGUGCAUGAGAGAGAGAGAGAGAGAGAGAGUAAAAUCUGAUGAACCCACAAACAUUGAGUUCUAAGGAGUUUAUCUAUUUCGUGACUUUUAAAGCAAUUCUCUCACAUGGGUCAACUUUUCAAAAAAUUAUUCAGUCUCAGAACUUCUAAUCAAUUCUAAGGGGUACUGAUGAUUCUACAUAUGCAUGCAAAGUAAUAGGGGAACCAUGAUUUUUUUUCUUUUGGAAACUUCAACCAAUUGUCUCAAAUGGGUACUGAUGAUUGUACAAAUAUUUGCAGAUAACAUGGAAAACCAGGAGGACGAGGAGGUAAAUACAGAGGAUUCGUCUCACAAAACCAACACAACAGAAAAGCAUAGCUAUGAGAAAGACCAGGAGAAAUCAGAGAAUUCAUCUCACAAAACCGAAACAAAUUUAGAAAUGCAGAACCAUGCAAUGGGCCAAGAAGAACCCAUCUAUGUAUAUAUGAAACAUAUCCAAGAAAAAACAAACGAAAAAUAAAAGUUUGCAAACAACUCCAGGGAAACAAACCCAUCAAUUUUCCAUGGAUUAAUAUCGAUUAGAAACCCUAAAAAACGAAACAAAAUUUCUGGAACCAAACAAAAAAUACAUCCCGUCUUGUAAUUUGAUUUUGUAAUCUGAUUUAACACACAGAAAGAGGCUGAUCUGAUCCUUUCGUUGGUAAUCUGAUUUUAGAGAGAGAGAGGGUUAUCGAUGUGCUUCUAGAGAGAGAGGGCUUUGUGAGUGAGGCCAGAAAGAGGGAAGGGGUUUUGAAAGAGAACAGAGAAAGAGCCCGAGGUGACAAAAUGCGAGAGAGAGAGAGAGAGAGAGGGGCUUGUGAAACUCUGAAAGUAGUACCAGAGAUGCCAGAAAGAGUGACAGCUAUACGAGAUGACCAAAUUUUAGGGUUUAGAGAGAGAGGGGUUACGUUUAUUUGGG